rnacentral:lncRNA from 1 species
GAUUCCCCGUGGGAGCGUAGAUGAUAUUUUUAUUUCAGUUGUCUAAUAGUGUUUAGUGGAGUUAGGAGUUUGAGGUAGUUGGAUGUGAGUAGUGUGUCGGAUUUGGUGGGAUAGGGGUGUUACUAGUUAGUGGGGUUGUUGAGAUAAUAUGUGAUAUGAUUUUUUAUUUUUAUUUCAUUUUAUUUUUUUCCCAAAAUUCCCUUUCUGUUUCACAUUCUACCGCUACUCUUCCUUCUUUUUCUUUCUCUUUUUCUUUCUAUAACCUUUUCUUUUCAUGUUAUUCUCUCAUUAUUUUGCUUAACGAAUUGGUCAUUUUAAUCGUUGGGGAUCGACGUUCCA